rnacentral:rRNA from 1 species
GCAACACGAAGCCGGUGAUCUAACCCGCAAGGGAGUGAAGCCGUCAAAGUUGGUGGUGUGAUUGGGGUG